rnacentral:rRNA from 1 species
CUACGGGAGGCAGCAGUGGGGAAUCUUGCACAAUGGGCGGAAGCCUGAUGCAGCGACGCCGCGUGCGGGAAGGAGGCCCUCGGGUCGUAAACCGCUUUCAGCAGGGACGAGGCCGGAAGGUGACGGUACCUGCAGAAGAAGCCCCGGCUAACUACGUGCCAGCAGCCGC